UUUAGUUUAAUAUAUUAAGAAUAAUAAACUCCAAAGACAAAAUAAGGAAAUCCUGUGAAAAACAGGAGCUGUACUCGUAACUGUAUUGGCGAAAGCCUAAGCCAGAAUACUUAUCUAGUCUUAUAUUAAUAG
rfam:Candidatus Melainabacteria bacterium GWF2_37_15 gwf2_scaffold_1878, whole genome shotgun sequence.